rnacentral:lncRNA from 1 species
CACAAUUCCAGCAAUGCUAAACCUUUCCUCUUAGAGAACAUUUCCCAAAAAGUUCUGUCCACAGGAGCAGAGCCCUGUGAUCAUUUAAGGCUCCGAAUCAAUGGCUGCACCCCACAGAGGGCACAGCUUGUUACAGUACCAAGGAAAUAUCCAUGAAUCAUCCAGGCACAAUCUGCAAACAGGGCUCACAUCAGGCCUCACAAAGGUUUUACAGCGCUCCGCUGACUUCUACAGCGAUUUCUUAUUUAUGCUUGGGGGAACUCCAUCAAGUUGGGCUCUCAGACUGUGUAAAAUGUUUAUAUUCACCGUUUUCUCUGUCAGUGUUUGCAGGGACUGAUUGCUCUACUCAUCAGAGCAUUAGAGACCAGAACUCGCCUGAUUUCCUCAGCACCGCCAACAUCUCUCAGCUGAGUGCCCUGGAAAAGCCUUUUAACGUGGACUUAGGUUCUGCUGGCCACUGAAAGCAACACACAAGAAACAGAAAGAAGAGACUGGGGCAUCACACUACUAAAUCUGCAGAAACAUCUUCAAGUUCUUGCAGAGAGCAGUGAUUAAACCUUUAAAAAAUGUACCUGUUUCACCCCCCCGAAGGAAUGGAGGGCUGCUGUAACAUAAAUCCGCUGCAUGGGUUAAUUAACAUAAUUACUCAUUCAUAGCCUGGUCAGCUCGCUGCAUUCAUCUGCCGCACGCCCAGGCUGAAUAAUUCAGCAGGUAUGAAUUAUUGAUGGCCCGGAGCUCUUCCGAAGGAGUUGCUGGCAGUCAGUGCCAGAGAUUGGACCUGUCCUGCAAAGCCAAGCCCUGCCCCAGGCUGAGCUCCGCUUUAUCCCGGGCAUCACAGCCAGGAAAAUGGGACGGGUUUGCAUUUAGCCACCAAAAAUACCGGGUUUUAAAUCUCCCCACAUCCAGCACUUGAUUUAUAGGGGAUGCCAGUGGCAUCAAAGGAAUCUGGGAGGGGGAAAAUCACCUUUUCCUUUUAGUUCCUUGAUGGAAUGCGUUGGAAAGGAGAACAGCGCAAGGCACAGACAUCCCUCCCCUAUAACCUCUGCCAUGAUUCGCUCUCCUGGUUUAGGUAGGGAAGGGCCAUAAAAUGGGCAUCUGGACCUCCAAACAAACGGGGGUGUUACCUGUGCUCACCCCACCUGCAGGCUGCCAGAAAAGGCAGGCUGGAGCUCUCCUCCUGCUGGGAACAGCCUCUCCACCUCCAUCCUCUGCUCGGGUGAAGAAACAGCCCCACACAAAAACCCAGAGGGUGAAUUCUGCACCCUCGUGAAGUUUGCACCAGGAAACCGUGAAGUCAAAGGACAAGAUACAGCCAGAGGCCAAGAAGGAGCUGUAAUUCCCGGUGGCUGAGGCUGAACUGCUGUUUCAGAAUGCUGAAGUCCCCAUGUGGCAAAGGAUGCAGCUGGAGAUGGUGUUGAAGAAGGUAAACAAAUAGUGUUUGUCAAGGGCAGAAGGG